rnacentral:rRNA from 1 species
UACAGAGGUCCCAAGCGUUGUUCGGAUUCACUGGGCGUAAAGGGUGCGUAGGCGGCGGGGAAAGUUGCGUGUUAAAUCUCAAGGCUCAACCUUGAAACCGCACGCAAUACUACCUCGCUAGAGGACUGUAGAGGAGAAUGGAAUUCACGGUGUAGCAGUGAAAUGCGUAGAUAUCGUGAGGAAGACCAGUGGCGAAGGCGAUUCUCUGGGCAGUUCCUGACGCUGAGGCACGAAGGCCAGGGGAGCAAACGGG